rnacentral:rRNA from 1 species
UUUUUGAACGAGUGGCGGACGGGUGAGUAACACGUGGGUAACCUGCCCUUAAGUGGGGGAUAACAUUUGGAAACAGAUGCUAAUACCGCAUAAAUCCAAGAACCGCAUGGUUCUUGGCUGAAAGAUGGCGUAAGCUAUCGCUUUUGGAUGGACCCGCGGCGUAUUAGCUAGUUGGUGAGGUAACGGCUCACCAAGGCAAUGAUACGUAGCCGAACUGAGAGGUUGAUCGGCCACAUUGGGACUGAGACACGGCCCAAACUCCUACGGGAGGCAGCAGUAGGGAAUCUUCCACAAUGGACGCAAGUCUGAUGGAGCAACGCCGCGUGAGUGAAGAAGGCUUUCGGGUCGUAAAACUCUGUUGUUGGAGAAGAAUGGUCGGCAGAGUAACUGUUGUCGGAGUGACGGUAUCCAACCAGAAAGCCACGGCUAACUACGUGCCAGCAGCCGCGGUAAUACGUAGGUGGCAAGCGUUAUCCGGAUUUAUUGGGCGUAAAGCGAGCGCAGGCGGUUUUUUAAGUCUGAUGUGAAAGCCCUCGGCUUAACCGAGGAAGUGCAUCGGAAACUGGGAAACUUGAGUGCAGAAGAGGACAGUGGAACUCCAUGUGUAGCGGUGAAAUGCGUAGAUAUAUGGAAGAACACCAGUGGCGAAGGCGGCUGUCUGGUCUGUAACUGACGCUGAGGCUCGAAAGCAUGGGUAGCGAACAGGAUUAGAUACCCUGGUAGUCCAUGCCGUAAACGAUGAAUGCUAGGUGUUGGAGGGUUUCCGCCCUUUCAGUGCCGCAGCUAACGC